rnacentral:rRNA from 1 species
AACGUAGGUGGCGAGCGUUAUCCGGAUUUACUGGGCGUAAAGCGUGUGCAGGCGGUUUCACAAGUGGUGUAUGAAAUUGCCCGGCUCAACCGGGCGGGGUUAUGCCAGACUGUGAGACUAGAGUGUGAGAGAGGGGCGUGGAAUUCCGGGUGUAGUGGUGAAAUGCGUAGAGAUCCGGAGGAACCCCAGAGGCGAAGGCGGCGCCCUGGCUCACAACUGACGCUCAGACACGACAGCAUGGGGAGCGAACGGG